GAUGAACGCUGGCGGCGUGCCUAAUACAUGCAAGUCGAGCGAACGGACGAGAAGCUUGCUUCUCUGAUGUUAGCGGCGGACGGGUGAGUAACACGUGGAUAACCUACCUAUAAGACUGGGAUAACUUCGGGAAACCGGAGCUAAUACCGGAUAAUAUUUUGAACCGCAUGGUUCAAAAGUGAAAGACGGUCUUGCUGUCACUUAUAGAUGGAUCCGCGCUGCAUUAGCUAGUUGGUAAGGUAACGGCUUACCAAGGCAACGAUGCAUAGCCGACCUGAGAGGGUGAUCGGCCACACUGGAACUGAGACACGGUCCAGACUCCUACGGGAGGCAGCAGUAGGGAAUCUUCCGCAAUGGGCGAAAGCCUGACGGAGCAACGCCGCGUGAGUGAUGAAGGUCUUCGGGUCGUAAAACUCUGUUAUUAGGGAAGAACAUAUGUGUAAGUAACUGUGCACAUCUUGACGGUACCUAAUCAGAAAGCCACGGCUAACUACGUGCCAGCAGCCGCGGUAAUACGUAGGUGGCAAGCGUUAUCCGGAAUUAUUGGGCGUAAAGCGCGCGUAGGCGGUUUUUUAAGUCUGAUGUGAAAGCCCACGGCUCAACCGUGGAGGGUCAUUGGAAACUGGAAAACUUGAGUGCAGAAGAGGAAAGUGGAAUUCCAUGUGUAGCGGUGAAAUGCGCAGAGAUAUGGAGGAACACCAGUGGCGAAGGCGACUUUCUGGUCUGUAACUGACGCUGAUGUGCGAAAGCGUGGGGAUCAAACAGGAUUAGAUACCCUGGUAGUCCACGCCGUAAACGAUGAGUGCUAAGUGUUAGGGGGUUUCCGCCCCUUAGUGCUGCAGCUAACGCAUUAAGCACUCCGCCUGGGGAGUACGACCGCAAGGUUGAAACUCAAAGGAAUUGACGGGGACCCGCACAAGCGGUGGAGCAUGUGGUUUAAUUCGAAGCAACGCGAAGAACCUUACCAAAUCUUGACAUCCUUUGACAACUCUAGAGAUAGAGCCUUCCCCUUCGGGGGACAAAGUGACAGGUGGUGCAUGGUUGUCGUCAGCUCGUGUCGUGAGAUGUUGGGUUAAGUCCCGCAACGAGCGCAACCCUUAAGCUUAGUUGCCAUCAUUAAGUUGGGCACUCUAAGUUGACUGCCGGUGACAAACCGGAGGAAGGUGGGGAUGACGUCAAAUCAUCAUGCCCCUUAUGAUUUGGGCUACACACGUGCUACAAUGGACAAUACAAAGGGCAGCGAAACCGCGAGGUCAAGCAAAUCCCAUACAGUUGUUCUCAGUUCGGAUUGUAGUCUGCAACUCGACUACAUGAAGCUGGAAUCGCUAGUAAUCGUAGAUCAGCAUGCUACGGUGAAUACGUUCCCGGGUCU
rnacentral:rRNA from 1 species